ensembl:lncRNA
GGGGGAGUUUGAGUGUGUACCUCUAAGACAAAUCUCUCGGGCCUUUUAUUUUUUCCUGGCAAUGUCCUUAAAAGCUCCCACCCUGGGACAGCAUGCCACUGAGCAAGGGAGAGAUGGGCGAGCCUGAAGAUGGUCCCUUUGGUUUCUGGGGCAGAUAGAGCACCAGCUUUGGGCAUAAUUUGGCUCUCCAAAUUUGAACUCCUUCCUAAAGAAACCCAGCAGCCACCUUGAAAAAGGCCAUUGUGGAGCCCAUUAUACUUUGAUUUAAAAUAGGUCAAGAGAAUCAGGCCCGGAGAUCUAGGGUCUUGUCCAAAGUGUGAGUCAGUGAGAGGGAACCAACAUUUGCUAAGUCUCUACUGUAUGCCAGGGAUCAUGCUUGGCACUUUCCACAGGACAUUCCACUCAGUCCUUAGAACCCCCAGGAGAGAGCUACUGGCUUGUUACCAUCCCCAUUUGAUCAUCUCCUCCAAUGAGGAAACCCAGGCACCUUCCUCAGUGUUGAAAUCCUGGGUUCCCAAGGGGCAGGUAAUGGCAGUGAGACUUCUCUGUGCUGUUUUUCUCAUGUUCUCUAAGUCAAGCAGUUAUUUUAUGGAGGGAAAAUAAGGCCAGAAACUUCUGAGCAGAGAACUCCUCUACAAAUGGAAAUUUAGUACUUUCUUCCUGAUGCCAGUUCUUCUGGGAAGCCCAGAAUUUCAUAUAUAUUUUAGUAACACAUUCCCAGCUCCCCAGGAAAGCCAGUCUCAUCUAAUUUCUUAGUCAGUAAAAACAAUUCCCUGUUCCCUCAGGCUAUGAAGGGACCAGCCAGGGACACUCUCGAUCUUGAUCUCUAGCCAGUGCUUAGGCCCAGUAUCUGACAGCCUCAGGUGGGCUGGGACCGAGGAAGCUCCAUCUUGAAGGCUGGUCUAGCCCCAGACAGGGCAUGAGGGGCAGAGAACCCAAGAAGGCACAGCUUUGGCCCUCAGGAGCCCACUGUAUGCUGGGGAAAUUGAACCACGGUGCAGUAGUGUGGAGUGGAUGAGUGUUCCAUGAGCCUAGGAGCAAGAAAGUCUCUUUGGCCUAGGGCUUCCUGGAGAAGGGGACAUCCGUUCCUGCUGGGUCUUAACAGGUAGAAAAAGAACAAAAAGGAAACUCAGGCAAAGGGAUCCAUAUGUGCAAUGGCAAAGAAAUGUGAAAAGGCAUCGGGAGGAGCAGUCUGGGGGAGGCCAGCCCAGCGCGGGCACAGCACAACAGGCGGAGCAGCAGGGAUGAGCCAGGGUCCAGGAGAGAGAGGCCCAUCGCAAGUGCAGACUUUGUCCUAUUGGCAACAAGGAGUCCACGGAGCUUUAGAGAGAUGUACUCAGCUUCGUGUUGGCAAAGACUCCCUCUGACCAAUGGGGCUGCCUCUUUUACUUUCAUCAGACACUGUGAAAACAUUCCCUUAAGUGUGUACUUUUUAAUAUCACAUCUCUUUGUCUGUCUGCUCACUGUUUUGUUGCUGGAACUAAAUAUACAGUGGAUCAUGAGACUCGGAUUCUAUGAGAAACCCAGGGUCUCUGCUUUACCACGGAGCAGGGUCACCAACCCAGAUCUCCAGGCCCAUGAGGAUGGAACAUGAAAGGAGCCCACAAAAGUGGCUUCCAUUGGCAUGGGCUCUGGAGCUGUCUAGAAGUCCAGGGACACCAGACUUGAUCAAGGAAGGGCUGUCACUUUAGAGGUUCAAAAGGAAGAGCCUCAAAGCAAAGGCAAGCAAAGGAACCCCGCGAUGAACUUGCUCUUUUCCUUUGAUGAGCCUCUCCCCAGGUGUAUUUCAGCAGACCCCGGGGACCCACCCACACUGGGCCUGCUGGCCUCCCUUGGCUCCAGCCCACUGCCCCAGCUGGCCUUCCCCAGCCUGCAAGGAGCCUGGAGCAUGGCAAAUCCACCUGCUGUAGGCUAUUAUCUCAGAUCUUGGUACAUCCAGACAGCAUGAGGGUGGAGGGAGAGCUAUUUAACACAAAUCCUAACAUUUUUUUUCUGCUCAGGAAGGGGUGUAAUAGCUGGCAGAUAAACAUGACAGCAGUUUCUAUCAUUUUAAAUGGUAGGAAUUUAAAGUGUGACUUUAAGAAGAAAAAAA